GACAAAACGAAAGCUAAAGACGAUGACAUCAUCAUUCGCUAAAGGCCUCUAGCCGUUGUUCAAGACAACAUGAACGACAGUUUAGACGAUUUUCAACUAUAAAAGGGGUUUCAAGACAGAGACCAGACCGAGGUUCCAGGACGACGUGAAAU